rnacentral:misc_RNA from 1 species
GAUGAAGAACGUAGCGAAAUGCGAUAAGUAAUGUGAAUUGCAGAAUUCAGUGAAUCAUCGAAUCUUUGAACGCACAUUGCGCCCAUUAGUAUUCUGGCGGGCAUGCCUGUUCGAGCGUCAUUUCAACCCUCAGGCCCCCAGUGCCUGGUGUUGGGGAUCGGCCCAGCCUUCCUGUAAGGCCGCCGGCCCCGAAAUCUAGUGGCGGUCUCGCUGUAGUCCUCCUCUGCGUAGUAGCACAACCUCGCAGUUGGAACGCGGCGGUGGCCAUGCCGUUAAACACCCCACUUCUGAAAGUUGACCUCGGAUCAGGUAGGAAUACCCGCUGAACUUAAGCAUAUCAAUAAGCGGAGGA